UACGGAGGGUCCAAGCGUUGUCCGGAAUCACUGGGUGUAGGCGGAUUUGUAAGUCAGAGGUGAAAGCCCACGGCUUAACCGUGGAACUGCCUUUGAUACUGCAAGUCUUGAGUCCUGGAGGGGCUGGCGGAAUUCGUGGUGUAGCGGUGAAAUGCGUAGAUAUCACGAGGAACACCGGAGGUGUAGACGGCCAGCUGGACAGGUACUGACGCUGAGGCACGAAAGCGUGGGGAGCGAACAGG
rnacentral:rRNA from 1 species